GAUGAAGAACGUAGCGAAAUGCGAUAAGUAAUGUGAAUUGCAGAAUUCAGUGAAUCAUCGAAUCUUUGAACGCACCUUGCGCCCUUUGGCCAUUCCGAAGGGCAUGCCUGUUUGAGUAUCAUGAACACCUCAACUCUUUAUGGUUUUCCAUGAUGAGCUUGGACUCUGGGGGUUUUGCUGGCUCACAGUCGGCUCCUCUAAAAUGAAUCAGCUUACCAGUGUUUGGUGGGUAUCAUGGGUGUGAUAACUAUCUACGCUUGUGGUUUUUCCACCAGGUAACCUUCAGCAGUGGAGGUUCGCUGGAGCUCAUAGAUGUCUCUCCUCAGUGAGGACAGCCCUUUGAAUGUUUGAUCUCAAAUCAGGUAGGACUACCCGCUGAACUUAAGCAUAUCAAUCAGCGGAGGA
rnacentral:misc_RNA from 1 species